UAUUUAUUCAUGAGGGAUACAGAGACAGAGAGAGAGGCAGAGGCACAAGGCAGAGGGAGAAGCAGGCUCCACGCAGGGAGCCCGAUGUGGGACUCGAUCUUGGGUCUCCAGGAUCACGCCCUGGGCUGAAGGCGGCGCUAAACUGCUGAGCCACUGGGGCUGCCCUUGUCUUGACCUUUGGAAGGCCAAAUAGCUCACUUCCUUGUCAUUUAUGUUUAUGACACUACAAACUGGGCAGUGGUCAAUGUGAUCACUCAUCUGUCUUAGCAGCAUAAAAAUGUCAGUGAUACUCAAGCAUGUCGUUCUGAUUUAGUACUAACAUUUCUGCAUUUACUUUCAUCUAUAGGCCACAUUCUUGAUGUGACUUGGCGUGGAAAUCUCCUUAUCCCCUUCAUGUUGGGAUUCUAUCAGUUAGCGGGGUGUUCAUGUACCACAGAGGCUGCUCUCCAGGGUGAACUUGACUCUUCCCUGUUGCGGCCAAAGAACAUUCAUUCUGUGGAGAUAAGAAGCAACCCAUCUGCAUCCUUUCGAUGUUGUGAGCAUGCAAAGUGGCUGCCGUGAACCUUCCCAGUCACAGGGAUGUGACAGUGACCUGAACAGACAAAACUCCCUGCGCCCAACAGCAUCUUAAGGCAGAGAGGAAUAAUGGACACAAGUGAGUAUGUAGUGAGUAUGUUAGGUUGCAUUACAUGCUAAGGAUAAAAGAAUGCUGGGCUUGUGGUCUGUGUGUGUGUGUGUGUGUGUGUGUGUGUAUGUGUGUGUGUGUGUGUGUGGCAAUGUGGCUGGAGCUGGUGAGUUGGCAGGGAG
rnacentral:lncRNA from 1 species